rnacentral:ncRNA from 2 species
GGGUCCGAAGCGUGUAGUAAUUGCUUCGGAGGUUUGGGAUGGUCGGGCCGCCAUCU